GCUGUCGUCAGCUCGUGUCGUGAGAUGUUGGGUUAAGUCCCGCAACGAGCGCAACCCUCAUCCUUAGUUGCCAUCAGGUAAUGCUGAGUACUUUAAGGAAACUGCCAGUGAUAAGCUGGAGGAAGGUGGGGAUGAUGUCAAGUCAUCAUGGCCUUUAUGGAGUGGGCUACACACGUGCUACAAUGGUGUCUACAAUGGGCUGCAAGGUGCGCAAGCCUAAGCUAAUCCCUAAAAGACAUCUCAGUUCGGAUUGUACUCUGCAACUCGAGUACAUGAAGUUGGAAUCGCUAGUAAUCGUGGAUCAGCAUGCCACGGUGAAUACGUUCUCGGGUCUUGUACACACUGCCCGUCACGCCAUGGGAAUUGAUUUCACUCGAAGCUAUCGGGUCUUGUACACACUGCCCGUCACGCCAUGGGGAAUUAA
rnacentral:rRNA from 1 species